rnacentral:rRNA from 1 species
GUANGUGACCUGCGGAAGGAUCAUUA